GGGGAUUUAGCUCAGUGGUAGAGUGCUUGCCUAGGAAGCGCAAGGCCCUGGGUUCGGUCCCCAGCCCCG
rfam:Rattus norvegicus chromosome 4, whole genome shotgun sequence.